UGGUGGAUUGAUUUGUCUGGUUUAUUCCGUUAACGAACGAGACCUUAUCCUAUUAAAUAGUAAUCUAGACACAAACUCUCUCUUUUUAUAAUUUAUUAUAACAAAGAAGGGUUAUAAAAAAUACUAAGAUCAUUUACUUCUUAAAGGGACAUUUCAUGUCUAAUGAAUGGAAGAUUGAGGCAACAACA
rnacentral:rRNA from 1 species